GUGCAACCAGAAGCGAACAAAUCUCCAGAACACCUUUACUCCACACAGAGCUCUCCCUCGCUAAUCUGACAAUAAUUAUACCAUGAUUCCUGUUUACAAGCAAAAACUAAAGCAGGAGGUACCAGUGACUCGCUCAAAACGGAAGUGGUCAGAUGAUACGCUACAGGACUGGAAUUUAUUCCGGGAUUCAUCCAAUGGCACUGAGGAAUACACCACCAUCAACUGCAGAGAGCGUUAUCACACAGUCAUCCAGAACAGCUGGUGCUCCAUUUAGCUAAUCUGCCUCAUCCACUGCAGUCCCCUUUUCACAACAUGUACUUCGGGAACCUGGGUGGGUGAAUGACUUCGUUGCUGUGUUGAAGAAAAGGUCGCAGUUGCAAAUGAGAACUUGUUCUCAACUAGCCUACCUGGCUAAAUAAAGUUCAAAGAAUUUCUUGGCCCCUACAAUAAACUCAGAGAACUGCUUCAUGGACUGUGUGAGGGAUUCUACCACUAGAGAAGUAAAGCCAGAGGAGUCCACCUGCUCAGAGAGCUGCCUACAGAAGUACCUGAAUGACCCAGCGCAUCCAGGAGUACCACAUCCAACAGAACGAAGCCCCGGCACAGAAAGCAGGAUUAAUGGGACCACGGUAGAGAACUACCACCCUUUAAACAUGGACAUAACGCUAGUAGUCCCCCAUCCAGUCUGAUCACAGCAUGAUCUACACACCACCAUGACGCUGUUAUUUGUGAAUCAGCAGAUGGCUAACCUACAUCAUCUACUUCUCAGGUUGACUGCUUGGACACUUCUAACCAGAGGGCUGUUAUGAGCCCUCACAAGGAAAAGCCUGAUCAUGAUGUAUGAGAUCAUGCUGAGUUUUGAUCCAGGCAGAAUGUGAAUUGUUUAUUAUAGUGUAUGUAAGGUAUUUUGUCUGUGAAUUAAGAAUAACAUACUAGCAAUAACUUAGGAAAAGGGAACAAUUAACACUCCCAUAAAAAUCCAUAUUUGUAAGUAAAUGUCUUGUAACAUUGACCAGCUGUCCCCUCUUGUGCAACAGUCAUUAAAUAAAAUGACCUGGGUAUACUGGUAAUUUUC